GAUCAUUAGUGAAUUUGUAGGGCCUGCCAUACGGAUGCGCAAGCGUCUCUGGCGCCCAACCCACUAUACAUCCACAAACCCGUGUGCACUUGUGUUGCUUUGGCCUGUAUGGGCGAGCGCACGCAUUCAAACAAACUCGUAUGGUUGUAUGUACGUUGUAAACGUUGGACCGUCACUGGCCAACAAACUUUAUACAACUUUCGACAACGGAUCUCUUGGUUCUCCCAUCGAUGAAGAACGCAGCGAAACGCGAUAGGUAAUGUGAAUUGCAGAAUUCCGUGAAUCAUCGAAUCUUUGAACGCACCUUGCGCUCCAUGGUAUUCCGUGGAGCAUGCCUGUUUGAGUGCCGCGAAUUCUCCCACCCCAAACGGUUGCCGAAAGGUACUGUGCGGCGGAGGGGUUGGAUGGGUGCUACUGCCUGUGGUGGGGAAACUACAACAGGCUCGCCCGAAAUGCAUUAGCGCCUCAGGACACAUUCGCUACUGCUCUACAAAAGGAAGAGCAGCGAAGCGUAUGGGGGGGAAAACCACCACCGGUUAUUCCAAACCUCGCCUGACUGUUUUUGCGCGCAUGGCAUGAUACGUCAUUUGCUGUGUUGCGUAGGUUGGUGCGUGGGACUGUGUGAGUGCCUCUAGAGCUUUGAGAAGUGUGUUUCGUGUGCUACGAACUGAAAAAGUACA
rnacentral:misc_RNA from 1 species